rfam:Mus musculus selenophosphate synthetase 2 mRNA, complete cds.
CUCUGAUAAUGAUGUCUCUCCCUCUAACUCCCAGUAAGGACUGGGAGAGGCUGAACAAACCUCAGAG